GUAGGCGGAAUGUAUCAUGUAGCGGUGAAAUGCUUAGAUAUGAUACAGAACACCGAUCGCGAAGGCAGCUUACGAAACUAUAACUGACGCUCAGGAACGAAAGCGUGGGGAGCGAACAGGAUUAGAUACCCUGGUAGUCCACGCUGUAAACGAUGAUUACUCGUUGUCGGCGAUACACAGUCGGUGGCUAAGCGAAAGUGAUAAGUAAUCCACCUGGGGAGUACGAUCGCAAGGUUGAAACUCAAAGGAAUUGACGGGGGCCCGCACAAGCGGAGGAGCAUGUGGUUUAAUUCGAUGAUACGCGAGGAACCUUACCUGGGCUUAAAUGUAGAUUGCAUGAAGGGGAAACCUUUCUUUUCUUCGGAACUAUUUACAAGGUGCUGCAUGGUUGUCGUCAGCUCGUGCCGUGAGGUGUCGGGUUAAGUCCCAUAACGAGCGCAACCCCUACCUUUAGUUGCCAUCAGGUAAUGCUGGGGACUCUAAAGGAACUGCCUACGCAAGUAGUGAGGAAGGU
rnacentral:rRNA from 2 species